rnacentral:tRNA from 1 species
GCCCUGGUAGCCAAGUUGGUGAAGGCCUCCGACUCAUAAUCGGAAGAUGCGUGGGUUCGAGCCCCACCCAGGGCA